GAUCCUGGCUCAGGAUGAACGCUAGCUACAGGCUUAACACAUGCAAGUCGCGGGGCAGCAUAGGGUUUCAGCAAUGAAAUUCGGAUGGCGACCGGCGCACGGGUGAGUAACACGUAUCCAACCUGCCCUUUACUCGGGGAUAGCCUUGCGAAAGUAAGAUUAAUACCCGAUGGCAUUGGAUUCCCGCAUGGGGCUUCAAUUAAAGGUGUGAACUGGUAAAGGAUGGGGAUGCGUUCCGUUAGGCAG
rnacentral:rRNA from 1 species